AUUGAACGCUGGCGGCAUGCCUUACACAUGCAAGUCGAACGGUAACGCGGGGCAACCUGGCGACGAGUGGCGAACGGGUGAGUAAUGCAUCGGAACGUGCCCAGUAGUGGGGGAUAGCCCGGCGAAAGCCGGAUUAAUACCGCAUACGACCUACGGGUGAAAGCGGGGGACCGUAAGGCCUCGCGCUGUUGGAGCGGCCGAUGUCAGAUUAGGUAGUUGGUGGGGUAAAGGCCUACCGAAGCCUUCGAUCUGUAGCUGGUCUGAGAGGACGACCAGCCACACUGGGACUGAGACACGGCCCAGACUCCUACGGGAGGCAGCAGUGGGGAAUUUUGGACAAUGGGCGCAAGCCUGAUCCAGCCAUGCCGCGUGCGGGAAGAAGGCCUCGGUUGUAACGACUUUGUCUAGGAGAACGACUACCGGCGUAUACCCUCGGGUAAGUGACGGUA
rnacentral:rRNA from 1 species